CCCUUAGAUGUUCUGGGCCGCACGCGCGCUACACUGAUGCAUUCAACAAGCCUAGCCUUGACCGAGAGGUCCGGGUAAUCUUUGAAACUGCAUCGUGAUGGGGCUAGAUUAUUGCAAUUAUUAAUCUUCAACGAGGAAUGCCUAGUAAGCGUGAUUCAUCAAAUCGCGUUGAUUACGUCCCUGCCCUUUGUACACACCGCCCGUCACUCCUACCGAUUGAAUGUGUUGGUGAGGAGCUCGGAUUGGCAGCAGUUGGUGGUUCGCCACCGGCUAUUGCUGAGAAGUCCUCCAAACCGCCCCAUUUAGAGGAAGGAGAAGUCGUAACA
rnacentral:rRNA from 1 species